GCUCCGGUGGCCUAGUGGUUAGAUCGUCAGCCUCAGAUGCGGAAGGUCGUUGGUUCUAAUCCCGGCUGAGUCA